rnacentral:rRNA from 1 species
CUUAAGGAAUUGACGGGGCCGCACAAGCGGUGGAGCAUGUGGUUAAUUCGAAGCAACGCGAAGAACCUUACCAGGUCUUGACAUCCCGAUGCUAUUUCUAGAGAUAGAAAGUUACUUCGGUACAUCGGUGACAGGUGGUGCAUGGUUGUCGUCAGCUCGUGUCGUGAGAUGUUGGGUUAAGUCCCGCAACGAGCGCAACCCCCGACCUUAGUUGCCAGCAUUCAGUUGGGCACUCUAAGGUGACUGCCGGCUAAAAGUCGGAGGAAGGUGGGGAUGACGUCAAAUCAUCAUGCCCCUUAUGACCUGGGCUACACACGUGCUACAAUGGGCGGUACAAAGGGUCGCGAACCCGCGAGGGGGAGCCAGUCCCAAAAAGCCGCUCUCAGUUCGGAUUGCAGGCUGCAACUCGCCUGCAUGAAGCCGGAAUCGCUAGUAAUCGCGGAUCAGCAUGCCGCGGUGAAUACGUUCCCGGGCCUU